UUCAGAAUGUCUUUCCUAAGUACCAGUGAGAACUAAACAAGGCCACAGAUGUAAAGCUCGGACAUGAGAUGCCCGGUAGAUGAUGUCAGGGCCUCCCGAUUACUGUUGUUACUGGUGACUCAGCGGCUUCCCACGGGGCCUGCGGCCGGGAGGAGAGAGGACGCUCAUCCCGCCCCUCCUGCGGGUGCCCCACUGCGCCUGAGUGGGGGACGGGGAAGGGCCCUUGGGGGUCUGUUUGGGACCAUUUACUGGAGGAAGAUGUAGCCUGCCUGUUGGUGACCGAAGCCUUGUAAACACUCCUGCAGCCCAAGAGAUGGGGGAACGUGUGACUCCUGGAGCCUCCCUUGUCGUUACGAUGAGAUGACAUGUCGGUUUCAUUUCAGACUCUUCCUAAGGAGACUGAGCUGAGCAUUCAGGGCCUUCAGGCUGGUGGAAAGGCAUGAUUUGUUUCCUUAGGAAUUCCUUCUAUAGUACUUGGAGCUUUGUGGAUAAAGCAGCAGUCAGAGACGCCCUGUAGAAAUGGAGUGGAGGUAACGCCCCAUGAACCUGCCGACCGACACCUCCGCAUCACAACCUAAAGCUGAGUUUGUGCAGCUGCAGACUUCCCCAUGUCAUACCUGAAACAAAGCGUCCUUCUCUUUCCUGAUGAUGUUGUGCAAACAAGAUGGUCCUCCUUGCUUCUCAGACCAUCAGCUCUGCUUCUCAUCUGGCCCAGCCUCCUGUGAAGUCAUAGCUCUGUGAUAUGGCAGCCGUUACCAAGAUGGAAAUGAUUAGGACGUCACGGGAGCUGGCACAGGAUGGCCCAUGUUCCGGACAGGACCAGGACCCCGGGUCCCAGCCACAGCUCUGUUAUCCACCCAGCCCCGCUUGGUGGCUGGGGAAAGCCGCUUCGCCUUCCCCAAGUCGAUCCUCGCGGUCUGCUGGUCAUGGCCUCAGAAGCUUGGAUGCCUGCGCCUGGACCAGCUGUUGUCUGUUGUCCCUGGGGAUGCUAGGCUCCCCCGGGUAACGGGAUGAGGCAAGCCUUUCUGGGACACCUUUCAAGUUGGGAAACUGGAGCACAGGCUCUGAGAGAAGGCAGCUGCAGGAAGUCUGGCAGAGGCACCCAUCCCCUCUGCUGAGAACAGGAAUGAGCCUGGCUGUGGGCUUGGAUGAGCUGGAGGGGGAGGACAUCCCGAAGGACUGAGGAGGGUGUUUCUAUACUGAAGAUUAACCUCGGGGUUGUGGGGCGGGGGGGGGGGGGGGAGGCUCAGAGGGAGAGGACAGUGGUCAUCAAACUUUUCCAUAAUCAAACUUUUUAGGAGACAGUUUAGCUGAAUCAGUCUAACCUUUGAGAUAAUGCUCUUUAGAAGAAAACAGAAGAUGAGAUUUUCACAGUGAGGGAACGAGCAAUGUGAGACUUUGCUGCUCUUGCUGCCCCAACCCAAUCCUUCCUCACAUAGUUGUCACCGUUCCCCUGGGAGACUGAAACCACCAGUCUCCUCUUCUGGCCCGGGGACUCCUUGUCUGUAGCCCCACUUGUGGGGGUGAAAGGCUGGAGCCCACCCGCCCACCUGUGCUCAGCUGUUGGGGCUGGUGUCUGGCCAACUGAUAGACCUGGUAGGUCUUCUGCCUGUCACACCCCCCAGCUUCAGGGACUUUCACAGAAACAUCCAGUUAUCACCUGCCCGCUUCAGUGGAGGAGAGGGGUCCGGACCACUGUGGACAAGUGUUAACUUCCUGGGUGUGAACGACGAGAAGGCACAACCUGCAUGGAUGAUUUGUGUUUCAUCUGGGGACUGUACAGAGGACUGUAGUCCAAAGGUGGCCUCUCGGUAGCUCAAGGGGCCAUCCUGAAAAGGUCAGAGAGGAACCAGGACCUAAAGGAGCUCCUGGCUGAGAAAAAAAUCCAGUUAACAGCAAGA